rnacentral:rRNA from 1 species
AGAGUUUGAUCAUGGCUCAGGAUGAACGCUAGCGACAGGCUUAACACAUGCAAGUCGAGGGGCAGCGGGGAGUAGCAAUACUUCGCCGGCGACCGGCGCACGGGUGAGUAGCACGUGUGCAACCAACCCCGUACCGGGAGAUAACCCGCGGAAACGUGGACUAACAUCCCAUGAGACUCUAGAGCCGCAUGGCUCUAGAUCUAAAAUUCCGGUGGUACGGGACGGGCACGCGCGACAUUAGGUAGUUGGCGGGGUAACGGCCCACCAAGCCGACGAUGUCUAGGGGUUCUGAGAGGAAGGUCCCCCACACUGGAACUGAGACACGGUCCAGACUCCUACGGGAGCA